CCUGGGUCUGUGCAGUGACCAGCCAGUCCCUGAGAACUUUCCCCUCCAGCACCAGGGAAAAUGAGGUUUUGGCUCCAUUUACUGUUCCUUGCAGCAGCUCUGGAAGGUGUCCGGUCCCAGGUGCAGCUGGUGGAGUCCGGAGGGGAUGUGAAAAAGCCCGGAGACUCUCUCCGCCUCUCCUGCAAAGCCUCCGGGUUCAAAGUUGGGGACUACGGGAUGAUGUGGGUCCGGCAGGCUCCCGGGAGGGGGCUGGAGUGGGUCUCAAGCAUUUAUUGGGAUUUAUGGAACCGCUAUUAUUACGCAGACUCAGUGAAAGGCCGAUUCAUCAUCUCCAGGGACGAUUCCAACAACCUGCUGCAUUUGGACAUGACCGGCCUGAAGCCCGAGGACACCGCCCGCUAUUACUGCGCGAGAUACUUAAAACACAGUGCGGGACGCCGGGCUGAGCUCAGACAGAAACCCGCCCUCGCUGGCUAAGCACAAA